ensembl:lncRNA
AGUAGGUGGGCUUGUCGGAUCUUGCCCUGCGAGGGAGGGAGUGGUGGACCAGCUGGUUGAAUAGUUGGGGGCCCUCUAGGGUGGGCAUCUGAAGUGGACUUGUGCAAAGACUGUGGGUCUGGUAGUGGUCCCUGUCCAGCCUCCCACUGCGAGCAGUGCGGCAGCGGCAGUGAGUGGCAGUGAGUGGGUGUCACCGCGGUGGAAUGCCCAUCUCUGCUGCCCGUUGGGCCUGGGGAUGGUGCUUCCGGUACUGCUGCCUCCCAGUGCCCGGCCGGGGGCCUCUAGCCAGCCCCUUCCAGGCCGAUGGCAGUUAUGGUGGCUCCUGAGGAGACCUGAAAUUGGGCCAUGGAGCUGGGGCACACAGAGCCUCUGGCCUGUUCCGCGUCUUGACCCUAUCCCACCAGUCUUGCUCCUUGAACCCCAGCUCCUGUUUUGGGCCUGGAGACCCCUCCCAUACUGGGCUGGCAGCAACCAGGGGUGCUCAGCAUUUUCUAGGCUGGGGAGUCCAUCUCAGCAUCCUGGCCCUCUGGCCUUCUCUUCCUUUGUGAAAUGGGCUUCCUGGGUUUGGGCCAGAGGAGUGCUGUGUCCAGGAUGGGGAAAACAGGGCCCUCGUGGAGUGGGGGUUGGGGGCUAAGAUCCUGCAGAGGAUGCACAGUAAGGGGCUGGGCCACCAAACUUUGCCUGAAAUUGAGGACCUGAUCUGCCAGGGCUGCGUGGGGAAGGGUCCUGGCUGGCCAUCCCUUUCCCAUCCAGGCACAGGGAGGUGAUGCAGUUGAGCCCAGCUGAGGCAGCUUCAGAGUGCUGGGCUCCUGUCCCACGUAGCGGGAAAGACUCUGUCCAGGCAACGGGACUCAGGCUGGGCAAUUGCCAGCCUUCCCUCCCAGCCAGAACCACGCCUGCUGCCCCACCCGCAUACUGGCUCCUUCCUGUCCUGGGUAGCCCUGCCAGCGAGCCGGCACAGUCACUGUCACCAGGGCAGAGGCAGAUGUGGAGCACAGUGGCAAAAGAGUUUUUCCUGACAGCUUGGUAGGGGGAGCAGAGUUGCUGAUAUCAGUCCUACUUCAGAGAUGCCCUCUCUCCCUCACCACCCAGUUCAGCUUGACUGAUCACCUAUCCCCGGGUAUCCCCAACUAUCCCCAGUGCCCUUGGGCUGGGCACUUAGGGGAAAGUUAGCCCAUGUGUGUUUAGGGGGAGUCUCUGAUUUGGGAUGGGCCUGUGUGGUCAGCUUAUAGAGAAAGGAGAGACAGUGUCCAUCUUGGCUCCGGAAGGCUUCAGGAUAUAAAUACAGCAGUUCUCUCUUGCCCCUGGGACUUUAUAUCUGUUCCCUUCACUGGAUGUCCUUUUCCCGUUUUACUCCUACUUGAUUGUUCUUUAAGACUCUGCUCAGGGAUCACCUCCCAGGAUCCUUCCUUGACAACUCCCCCUUUCCCAGGCUGGGGAACACCUCCUCUGUGACACCCCCCCUCCUAUGCCCUACCCCCAUCAGACCAUGGUAUUUGCCCUCAUUACAGCUGGUCAUAGCUGCAGUCCCCUGAAACAGGGCAGGGCUGUGUCCUGUUCAUUUGCCAAGCCUUCUGGGCCAAGCAUGGAGCCUGGUACCUACUGGGUGCUCCUUGUCUGUUUGUUGAAUGCAAGAAGUGCUGCUUGUGUGAACUUGCUUUUGGGGAUGGGUAGAUGGAGGAGUAAGAUGGCAGUCACCCAUAUCAUGGGCAGGUGGCAAGAGCUCGGUGUAGAGCCAAUGACCAGGAUUGAGGGGGAGGCUGAGGGAAAAGUUCUUCAGGCUGUUUCAUUUUGGUCUCAUCACAGCCAACCCCUGUCCCACUCCAUGAAGAUCUCUUGCUGAUGAAGAAUCUGCAGCCUGUCACAGGGCACAGCACUCUGGAGGGACUCCAGCUGUUCAGAUGGAAGAGUGGCUUUGCGUUCUUCCUUUCAGCGCAGGCUGCUUGGGGACUGUUGCAGACCUGCUCUCUCUGCUGCUCCAGUAAAGUCUUUCUCUCUCUUGGGGCUGGAGUUGCCCCCCUGCCAUGGGGAUCAGACCUGAGUAAUGCUGCAGGCAUUCUUGACCUGGCUAGGGUAGAGACUGCACACACAGGGGCGCAAUUAGGUUUAUCCAAAGAAAAGGAAGGGAGUUUUGUGACCUUUGUCCAGUCUGUGUGUCUCACAAGGAGCUGGGCACACUGUAGGUACCUGCUGAGUGUGAUGGAAAGAAUGAAACUGUGGAGCACAUCUGUGAACAGGGAUCAGUAAUUCUGGGGCUGUUGGCCUGGGGCUUGGUGUAGCUCGAGUUGGUGGGAAGGGCUCGCCUAGGAUCCUGGCCACCUGCAUAAUGAGUAGAGUCUAAUGAUGCCUGUGAAUGGAGGGUGCUUCCUGGAGAAAGGUGUCCUCUGAGUAACCCUGAAAAAUUAGUCACAUUUGCCAGGAUCAGGCAUUGGGCUUGGGGGUGGGAGGCAGAGGAACCAACUCACCAAGGGCACUGAGGUAAGAAGUCCUGGCCUAAGUUCCCAAGCCUUUGAGUGGAUGAUGAUUCCUGGCCUGGGGGAGGAAGUCUUAACUUCCUUAGACCAGUUCUUAGGGUUACACAGACCUGAGUUCAAAUCCCAGCUCCACCUAGUGUACUGACUGAGAAACCCAGCAACAGGUGAGAUCUCGGUAGAUGACCUGCUCUCCAGCUAUAACCUGGGACCAGGUGCCUGCCUGCAGCCCAGGUGUUGUGGGGAAAGCACACCAAAGCCUGGACGUAUGAAAACAGGUGAGAGACCUUCUGCUGUCUCCUGCAGAGCUGAGAGUUUGGUGGGGGUGGUGUCCCCAGCCUGGAGGCUGCCUGGCCACAGUAUGGGGGCCCUGGGAACCCCCUCCGUGGCCCUUGGCAGCUGGUCACAGCAAGUGGGAGACAUUUGGUGCCAUCUGGAGUGGCACGUUGUCUUGGGGACCUUCGGCCCAGCCUCUGGGGGCUGAGCCACCUUCCGGGGGGUCUGGAGUUGAGGGUGUGGCAGGGCCCUGGCUACCAGGUGGGCUGGUACUCAGGCUGGCCUCCAGCCUCCCUUUUCUCCUCAAAGCUUUCCCACUCCCACCCUCCUGCCAUCCGCCAUCCUGCCUGGAGCUCAUUAGCACUUGAAUGGGAGGCGGGGCAGCUUGGGCCUCUUGAGUCUCUUCUUCCCACCCCUCCCCCAGGCUAGGCUAGGCUUUGUCUUCCAGGGCCAGUGGUGCAGCCCUGGGGCUCCCAAGCUAGGGAGGGAGUAGGGGGUCUAAGCCAUUUCUGACCCCCUCUGGCUGGGUCCUGCCUUGUCCCACUGGGCUCCGCUCCCGCCCAUGACUCCAGUGUUGGUGCAGCCAGUAAAAGUCGUACCUCUAGGAUAGGAGUGAGAGUGGGUCCUUCAAGGGAUAGCCCUGAGCUGGGAGACUGGGCAAUUCAAGGUGGUUUUACAAAGAAGGUGACACAGGAGCUCAGCUGAGGGCAUCUCAUUGAGGGGUAGGAGUGGAGAACCCCAGACAGAGGGCAGAGCAGGUGGUGAGGACAGAGGGAAUGCCUGCCGCUGUGGCUGGAGGUGGAAGUCAAGCCAGCUGGGGAGCUUAGGCUUGCCAGGCCCUGAGGCAGUUGAGCCACCCACUGUGCUUGAGUUGAAGCCUAGGCUGCCAGAUGGGGCUUGGCAUGGUCCAGGACCCCUUCGGGCGUGAACAGCCAUUCAGGGUUGGCCCUGGGCUGGCCUGCGGGGCCACCCGGUAGCAUCACUGGUAUCCUAGGCUUGCAAACUGUUGCCUAGUGACAGCAGGUAGUGCUGGGCAUGGGGCCUGAUGGGUUCCCAGUGAGGUCCUAGGCUCCAGCACCGCAGGGGCUGGUGCAUGGGGCAGGUUGGGUCACAGGCCGCACACUGGUCCUGUACUCUCUGCCCUUGGUCUCAAUCCCUGGUUGUCUCUCUCGGUCUCGGUCUGUCUCUCUAAAAGGCAUCCCUUUUGGCAGAAACAGGAUGGAGGAAAUGUCCGCAUAAGCUCUUAGCCUCUGAGUGAUCAAAACUUGUCCCACCACAUCCCCAGCAGAGGGCGAGACAAUCUGAGUCUGAGUGCUGCCUCCCUGGCAGGAUGGGGCAGAUGGGGGCAGGGCCCAGGCCAGCUUUGGGCUCAACCUCCCAGUAUCUCGGGGCAGAAGAGUCCUAACCUCCAAGUUCAGAGUGGGGAAGGUGUCAGCAGAUUUUGGCCAGGCCUCAGCUGAUGGGACCUGCCUAAGAAAGCCCUGGGGAGGGCAAGGACUAGGCCCUUUGGUGGUGGCUCUAGAGGCGGCCCCUCCCUCAGCCACAGGUGCAGGGUGGGGCCCCCUCUGCCCAGCCCCACCCCUCCUCUCCAGCCCGCCAGCCUGGAGCUCUUGUUCUUACUAAACCCCAACCCACUCCACCCUCACCCCAAUGCUGCUUCUUGGGGCUACAAUCAUCUUGGUUUGGGAGGAAUAACCUCCCCAGAAUAACCACACAUUCUCUUGGCUGGGCCAGGCCUUCAGUCCUGGGCUUCUGUGUAUACUUCCAAGGCUUGGCAGUAAGUGCCGGGCCAGUUUGAGCCAAAGCCCGAAGGUGGGAUCAUAUAAGGCUUGUGAGAAGGUAUCCUUGUGGCUUGGAGGAUUCCAGAGUGCCAGGGUGCUACAGCAGCACUUACUGUGCUCUGGGCUGGAGGAGGGGCAGUGAGGUCUGCAUGGCAGGGCUGGGCCUCUCGGGGAAGUGGUGUCCACACCGGAGGAAAAGGAGGAAGCAGCUGGAGGAGGAGGAGCUCAAAAGAGGAAGAGGCCAGAGGGCUGCUCACACUCUGCACUGGGGUGGGGGGGUGUGAGCCAGGUCAUCUGGGGGAUUAGAAGGUGAGCCCCACCUGUGCAGGCGCAUCUGCAUAUCUCCCUGGGCCACCCUACUGGUAGUCACUGGGUUGGAGUUAGUCCGCACAGCUCUGACCCUUGUCUUGCCCCAGCAAUCACUGGAUCCAGGAUCUCAGAGAAGGUGGCCCCUCUGAAGAGGAUUCCAGGCCCCUCCUCUGACCACAGGAAGUGGUGGCUGGGAGAGGGACGCCGACUGGGGGUGGCUAGCAGGAAAACAGAGGGCUGCUCCUAUGUUCCCAAGCGGCCAUUGCCCUCCAAAGCCGGAAGGCCGGCUGCAGGCCCAGAUGAAUGCCCGGAAAUGGAGCAGCAGCCCUGGGAUUAGCUCACUCUGGGUUUCCCCUGUCUAUGGGUAGACAGAGGGGCCCUUGAUCCAGCCUAAGGAUUCCCCCUGUUACUACCCACUGGGCCUGGGGGUGCUUUCACUGGGCCUCAGUUUCCCCUCUCGUGACAACAGCAGCUGCCUCUCAUUAAGCCUUGACUAUCGCAUAGGGCUGUGAGGCUGGGACUGACAUUUUAUCCAUUUCGUUCAUGUGGAAACUGAGGGUCAGGGACAUUACGUGACUCACCCAAUAAGCAGAGAUACCAAAACAUGACCCAGGUGGUGACUCUGAGCGCCUGCCCCCAACUCCUGUAGCCCCUCAGAAGUCUCUGCCCAAGUGGCAAGAAUUGGUCAGUCAGGAUGACAGACAGAUGCUGUGGGUCCUGGUCCAUGUCCCCUCACAGUAAUACUUAGGUCAUAGUCAGGCAACUUAGUGCUUCGCUUUGUCCCUAACAUGCUUGUGCCUUCCACCCCCACCCCCCACCCCCAGCCCUCAGGAGACCAGGGCUGAGGAAGGCUCAGAGACUGUCAUGGUCCAGCAUGGGGGCCCCUGAGCCUGGUCUCAAGACCAUGAGUUGUCCAGAUGGGGAGAAGGGAGAAAUGUCCUGCAGGGAGCCCCCACUAAGAAAGAGCAAAGGCUGUGGUGCGCCCGUGUAAGGUACAAGGUGGUGAUUGAUGUGUCCAUGCUGUGAGUUGGCCACAGCAUGAGAGGUGUGGGGAGACUGGCCCUCAUGCUUCUUGGCCUCCAAAACCCAAGUUUUCCUGCCUUGUCCUCCCCACAGAGGUUCCCAGAAUUCUGCUCUAAGUUGUCAGGCCAAGAGCUGAGGAGCCUAAGAGGCUUAGGAGAGCUACAGCAGAAGCAGUAGAUGCAUCAGGGUCUUAGUGGGCUCUGAGGUCACUCACAAAGCUGAGAACAUGCAUCCUCAUGGCCAGUCAAGACUUCGGGUCCCAGAGGGCCCACUCCCCACUUUCCUCACCAUGUGACCUCAGGCUGUCCUUUCCUAUCUCUGUGCCCAUCCCUGGGACCUAUGAUGUCAUGUUUCUCAGCAUGGCCCAUGGCUUGUGGGCACAUAGACAAACCUUGGGCUUGGACCCUGGAGCAGUUUGGGGUGGGUGUGAAGGCCCAAGGGAGGCUCCUCUUGGCAGGCGUUGGGCUUGGUACCCUCCCUUGUGGGGUACUUUUCGUAGAUUGGGCCAUGAGGCCCAGGCAUGGGCAUCUCACCCAAGGUCUGCCACCAUGAAUGAGGAGAGGUAGGAGUUCCCAUGUGGGUCAGUAGGUUAAGUAUCUGGUAUUAUUGUCACUGCAGGGGCCCAGAUUGCUACUGUGGCACAGGUUUGAUCCUUGGCCCAGGAACUUCCACAUCCCCUGGAUGCAUCCCCCAAAAAGGAAUUCCCGUUGUGGCUCAGUGGGUUAAGGAUCCGACUAAUAUCCAUAAGGAUGUGGGUUUGUUCCCUGGCCUCACUCAGUGGGUUAAAAAUACGGUGUUGCUGUGAGUUGUGGCAUAGCUUGCAGAUGCAGCUCGGAUCUAGCAUUGCUGUGACUGUGGUGUAGGCCAGCUCCGGAUUCAACCCCCAAUCCGGGAACUUACAAAUGCUGCAGUUGUGGCCCAAAAAAAAAAAAAAAAAAAAAAAAAAAAAAA